AAAUUGAAGAGUUUGAUCAUGGCUCAGAUUGAACGCUGGCGGCAGGCCUAACACAUGCAAGUCGAGCGGAAACGAGUUACCUGAACCUUCGGGGAACGAUAAUGGCGUCGAGCGGCGGACGGGUGAGUAAUGCCUAGGAAAUUGCCCUGAUGUGGGGGAUAACCAUUGGAAACGAUGGCUAAUACCGCAUGAUGCCUACGGGCCAAAGAGGGGGACCUUAGGGCCUCUCGCGUCAGGAUAUGCCUAGGUGGGAUUAGCUAGUUGGUGAGGUAAGGGCUCACCAAGGCGACGAUCCCUAGCUGGUCUGAGAGGAUGAUCAGCCACACUGGAACUGAGACACGGUCCAGACUCCUACGGGAGGCAGCAGUGGGGAAUAUUGCACAAUGGGCGCAAGCCUGAUGCAGCCAUGCCGCGUGUGUGAAGAAGGCCUUCGGGUUGUAAAGCACUUUCAGUCGUGAGGAAGGUAGUGUAGUUAAUAGCUGCAUU
rnacentral:rRNA from 1 species